rnacentral:rRNA from 1 species
UGGCCCCGCGGUGCAUUANCUAGUUGGUAAGGUAACNGGCUUACCAAGGCGAUGAUGCAUAGCCGAGUUGAGAGACUGAUCGGCCACAUUGGGACUGAGACACGGCCCAAACUCCUACGGGAGGCAGCAGUAGGGAAUCUUCCACAAUGGACGCAAGUCUGAUGGAGCAACGCCGCGUGAGUGAAGAAGGUUUUCGGAUCGUAAAGCUCUGUUGUUGGUGAAGAAGGAUAGAG